AUCUUGCGCAAUGGCCGCAAGGCUGACGCAGCGACGCCGCGUGGGGGAGGAAGGGCUUCGGCUCGUAAACCCCUGUUGCCCGGGGCGAACCUCUGGUUUCGACCAGACUGACGGUACCGGGUGAGGCAGCACCGGCUAACUCCGUGCCAGCAGCCGCGGUAAUACGGAGGGGGCGAGCGUUGUCCGGAAUCACUGGGCGUAAAGGGCGCGUAGGCGGCACGUCAAGCGCGUGGUGAAAGCCCGGGGCUCAACCCCGGGUCGGCCGUGCGGACUGGCGUGCUCGAGCACUGUAGGGGCGGGUGGAAUUCCGGGUGUAGCGGUGGAAUGCGUAGAGAUCCGGAAGAGCACCGGUGGCGAAGGCGGCCCGCUGGGCAGGAAGACUCCGUAAGGAGUCGGCUGACGCUGAGGCGCGACAGCGUGGGGAGCAAAC
rnacentral:rRNA from 1 species